UACGUAGGGUGCAAGCGUUGUCCGGAAUCACUGGGCGUAAAGCGCACGUAGGCGGAUUGUUAAGUCAGGGGUGAAAUCCUGGGGCUCAACUCCAGAACUGCCUUUGAUACUGAAGAUCUUGAGUUCGGGAGAGGUGAGUGGAACUGCGAGUGUAGAGGUGAAAUUCGUAGAUAUUCGCAAGAACACCAGUGGCGAAGGCGGCUCACUGGCCCGAUACUGACGCUGAGGCACGAAAGCGUGGGGAGCAAACAGG
rnacentral:rRNA from 1 species